rnacentral:rRNA from 1 species
AUGUGUCGACCUAGUGGCAUCAAUAUCCUCGAUGACAAGUUCCACCUAGGAGAUUCGGGCUAUGCAUGUCAACCAUAUGCCGUUCCACCCUUUAGGAAAACCAGGUACUAUCUGAACGCGUUCUCUUGUAGGAACUAUCCUAGGCCUGCAUAAGAAUUGUUCAAUCUCAAAUACUCUAGCCUUAGAGUUACGGUUGAGAGGGCAUUUGGAACUCUGAAGAACAUAUUUAAGAUCCUGGAUCAAAAGUCAUUGCACCAUUACCCCACCCAGGUUAAGCUUUGUCUUGCAUGUUGUAUCCUUCAUAACUGGAUUCUACAAUGGGGUUCUGAUGACCUUGUGCCGGAAGAGGAAGAGGUGACACUUGAUGAUGUUGUUAACUCUGGUCAUGGUGUGGAGGCAUUUGACAAUGAUGCCUAGAAGAACAAAAGAAUGGAGUAG